rnacentral:lncRNA from 1 species
GGAAGGUAUCCCAACAUGAUCAUGCAGUGGCAUAAUCAUGGCUCACUGCAGCCUUGUCCUCCUGGGCUCAAGACAUCCUCCCGCCUCAGCCUCCAGUGUAGCUGAAACUAUAGGCAUGUGUUACCACACCCAGCUAAUUUUUGAUUUUUUGUGGAGACAGGAUCUCGCUGUGUUGCCCGGGCUGGUCUCAAACUUCUGGACACAAACAAUCCUCCACAUUGGCCUCCCAAAAUGCUGGAAUUACAGGUGUGAGCCACUGGACCAGCAGGACUCUAAAUUUUGGUAAGAUAAACACUGGUGUGGUGAAGUAAUUGAGUGUCCUUCUUUAAACCAUUAAAUUAUGUUUCAUUUGGCAUCAAAUACCAUAAUCUCUGUCUCUUUACAUCAUGUCAAGCAUCUAUGACCACAGACAUGAGAAUUUGAGAAUUAAGCUCCUGAAUCUUUCUUUUUCACUGAACCGAUGUUGACAGUGGGCGGUGCCUUCCACAGACAAAGAUAAGGUACCAUGUGAGGUUGCCAGGAAGAAAACUGCAGCCAGGACAGACCACCUAAAUUGUAGAAAGCUUUCUGCUAAAGGAAGGAAGGUUUCCAAGGAGAAGAAAAUGUGUGUCCUCAGGGAGUAUUAAAGCGCUAGUGUUGGAAAACUGUGAAGCACACCUGUUCUCAGGAUUGGCAUGAAAUCCAAUGUUGAUAUUGAUAAGUUUUCUAUGGAAAUGAAGUUUGUUUUCAUUUGCCCUUACCCUCCUCUUCUGUGCUUCUUUUCAUGUCUUUGCAAUGACCUUCCUUAGGUACCUACCUUAAUCCUAUGGUUGUAUUGCUUUUUAGAUAAAACUUAAGAGAGGAUACUUGACAGGCUUUCUCUAUAGCAUUUGAUUAUAGGGUGAAUAUAUCCUCUUGAAAUUUGCUGUUAUAAUUUCCCUCACCUGCUACCUUGGCUCUCAUGCCUCACCAGAAGAUAAUGGGAAACUAAUGCAGCUGAACAAAGAUGAUUUUCAUCAAAGGCCAGUCAGAGCCCAUGGUAGUAAUAGAACUUCAUAAAUUGCCUGCAGCAGAGACUAAAGCAACCUACACACAGGCAAAGAACCAGAGUUUCUGAU